UUCGGUACUAAAUUCUUUAAAUUCAUUCCAAAAUAUUGCAAAUACCUACCAUGAUGCUUGGAUUAUUGAAUCUGACGCCACUGAUCACAUGACAUGGGAUCUAAUGAAAUUGCAAAAUUUAGCUCCCAUUGCAUAUUCCCAACAUGUGACAGUCGUUAAUGGGACCAAAGUCAAAAUUCAUGGUUGCAGUACCACUUUAU
rnacentral:lncRNA from 1 species